UGAAACUACAACUCUAAAAGUUGUCAUCU
rnacentral:piRNA from 1 species